AUUGAACGCUGGCGGCAGGCCUAACACAUGCAAGUCGAGCGCGCCGCGGACGGGUGAGUUAUCUAUGGGGCUCUGCGCGAUAGAGGGGGAUAUCCUCGGGACACUGUGGCUAAUCCCGUAUUCUAUCGUCUGAACCCAUAUGGGAUUAGCUAGUAGGUGGGGUAAAGGCUCACCUAGGCGACGAUCUCUAGCUGGUCUGAGAGGAUGAUCAGCCACACUGGGACUGAGACACGGCCCAGACUCCUACGGGAGGCAGCAGUGGGGAAUAUUGCACAAUGGGCGCAAGCCUGAUGCAGCCAUGCCGCGUGUAUGAAGAAGGCCUUAGGGUUGUAAAGUACUUUCAGCGGGGAGGCGUUACCCGCAGAAGAAGCACCGGCUAACUCCGUGCCAGCAGCCGCGGUAAUUC
rnacentral:rRNA from 1 species